rnacentral:rRNA from 1 species
UACGAAGGGGGCUAGCGUUACUCGGAUUGACUGGGCGUAAAGGGCGCGUAGGCGGAUGGUACAGUCAGACGUGAAAUUCCUGGGCUCAACCUGGGAAGUGCACUCGAUACUGCUUAGCUCGAGUACUGGAGAGGUUGGUGGAAUUCUCGGUGUAGAGGUGAAAUUCGUAGAUAUCGAGAGGAACACCGGUGGCGAAGGCGGCCAACUGGACGAAUACUGACGCUGAGACUCGAAAGCGUGGGGAGCAAACAGG